rnacentral:rRNA from 1 species
UACGAAGGGGGCUAGCGUUGCUCGGAAUCACUGGGCGUAAAGGGUGCGUAGGCGGGUUCUUAAGUCAGGGGUGAAAUCCUGGAGCUCAACUCCAGAACUGCCUUUGAUACUGAAGAUCUUGAGUCCGGGAGAGGUGAGUGGAACUGCGAGUGUAGAGGUGAAAUUCGUAGAUAUUCGCAAGAACACCAGUGGCGAAGGCGGCUCACUGGCCCGGUACUGACGCUGAGGCACGAAAGCGUGGGGAGCAAACAGG